CUGGGUUUGACAUGCACAGGACGCCGGCAGAGAUGUCGGUUCCCUUGUGGCCUGUGUGCAGGUGGUGCAUGGCUGUCGUCAGCUCGUGUCGUGAGAUGUUGGGUUAAGUCCCGCAACGAGCGCAACCCUUGUCCUAUGUUGCCAGCGGGUUAUGCCGGGGACUCGUAGGAGACUGCCGGGGUCAACUCGGAGGAAGGCGGGGAUGACGUCAAGUCAUCAUGCCCCUUAUGUCCAGGGCUUCACACAUGCUACAAUGGCCGGUACAAAGGGCUGCGAUGCCGUGAGGUGGAGCGAAUCCUUUCAAAGCCGGUCUCAGUUCGGAUCGGGGUCUGCAACUCGACCCCGUGAAGUCGGAGUCGCUAGUAAUCGCAGAUCAGCAACGCUGCGGUGAAUACGUUCCC
rnacentral:rRNA from 1 species